UACGUAGGGUGCAAGCGUUGAUCGGAAUUACUGGGCGUAAAGCGUGCGUAGGCGGCUUCGCAAGUCAGGUGUCAAAGCCCUGGGCUUAACCUAGGAAUUGCGCUUGAAACUACGGAGCUCGAGUUUGGCAGAGGGGGGUGGAAUUCCACGUGUAGCAGUGAAAUGCGUAGAUAUGUGGAGGAACACCGAUGGCGAAGGCAGCCCCCUGGGCCAAAACUGACGCUCAAGCACGAAAGCGUGGGGAGCAAACAGG
rnacentral:rRNA from 1 species